CAAUUCUAACUUUCAGGGUGACAUCAAAAUUGCAUCAAACUAGAAUUCUGAUGUUCACAUUGUGUGAACACCAAAUGAAUCAAAAAUUUCUGUAUGUCUGACCUCUGAUAUCAAAACUAAAUCUCCUUGAUCUGUCUAAAAAUCAAUUCAUCUGAAAUUAAUUUUCCAUAAUUUGCAGUCGUUGUAAAACCUCAGGCACUGCAAUAGAAAAGAGAAGAAGGCGAAUCAGUUUCAUCUCCAAUUUCACAGAACAAUCCUCAUUGAACAAAAUCAGGAAUUUACAGUUAUCAUGAUUUGACUGUGUAAAAACUCAAGAGGAAGCUAAUGAAGUCAGGAUCAGUAAAAUGCCAAAUGGUCUUCUCUGCUUUCAGGUUAUUAAUAGCCUUAUUCCAGGUCUUCAGAAUGCUUUCUUGAUUGUACUGCUUCUGGAGAGAGCACUUGAAGAAUGUGGCCGGGGUGAUGAUUUGGAUGAGCUACACUUAAGUUCUGCUGCAAAUAAAUCUGGUGCAGCAUCAGAAGCAAGUCGGCAACCCCAUGCACAAGGGCAAGCACUACCCUAGAACUCCGUUGAUUGUUCUUGCUGGAAGGGUUGUCUUUUUGAAGCAUCUUUCUUCUGGCUUGCUUUUGGUCACUGUUUAGUUUUGUUUUUCUUAACUGAGAGAGAGAUUGUUUUUACUUUCCGUUACCAAGUAGUGCCUUUUGAUCAAUGUACAUGUAGUUUGUUAUGUUUAGUGUGUUUGUGCUGCAGAUUUUAGAAUAUGUAAAACGAUGUGUAAUGCAUUUAAUAUUUGUAAAUGCAGUAUUUCUAAGCUAAACCAUAUUGACAAACCCGCA